GCCUGGGGGGCUCAGUCGGUUGAGCGUCUGACUUCGGCUCAGGUCACCAUCUCACCGUUUGCGGGUUCGAGCCCCGUGUCGGGCU
rnacentral:tRNA from 1 species